UUCUGUAAUCCCUGGCCAUCUCCCGUCGUACUUGUCAAAACGAAGGAUGGAACGUGGCGCUUUUGUCUAGAUUAUCGCCACCUGAACAAAAUCACAAAAAAAGGACGUGUACCCUUUGCCACGUAUUGCUGACGCUCUAGACUGCCUGUACGGUGCCACCUAUUUUUCUUGUAUCGACUUACGGUUGGGCUACUGGCAGAUAUCCAUCGACGACAUGGACCUAGAGAAGACUGCCUUUGUUACCACUGACGGCCUUUAUCAGUUCAAGGUCUCUGUAACGCGCCCGCCACCUUGGAACGGAUGAUGUACUCUUUGCUUCAGGGGUUCAAGUAGUCCACCUGUUUGUGCUAUCUGUACGACGUCAUCAUUUAUUCCGCCACAUUCGAUACGCACCUAGACCGUCUUUCAGUGAUUCUUGACGUGUUCCGCCGCGCCGGUCUGCAGUUCAACUCGUGAAAAUGUCACUAAGCUACAGCGCUGCGGCGACACGAGCUGCUGGGGUCGGCGGCGCAAAGUGAAUGAAGCAAGCAGAGUACUGCAAGUGGCAGUGCCAGGUGCGGUGAUGACGCUCCGUUCAUUCUGAGCCGUCAUCGCUCUUUAGCGCUGUACUCAUCCGCGUCAAACCAUUAUCAACCGUUCUCCGGCGGCGUCUGCUUGUGACACGGCCGCGCGAACCGCAUCUUGCAAGUGAACUGCAAUGCGGACAGAGUGUGCCCACUGCUGAAAACUUCACGCGUUGUGUUCUCGCCGUUUAGUUCGCUUUGAAAAUAGACACGCGUACACCCAUCUUGGAAGUGAUCUGCGAAAAGCGCGUAGUGCGGCAUGUGCUGAGAGCUUCGUGAGCGCUGUGUUCUCGCCGCAUGGGUCACGUUGAAGCGAGAGCUAGCACGAAGGUGAAUUCACUCGCUGCUGCGGGUUCUAUUUUGAAAGCUAUCGUGCGGUACGGAUUGACGGACGGAUGGUUUUUCUUGUUGGAGAUUGGACUCGACUUUUGGUGAGGCUGUCGAUCGACCUUGGGCCUGGUGACAGCAUACCCGACAUGGCCAAAGUGCAGCCUGUCAGUUGAGUGCCCCCGAAUGGACCAUGAACAUCGCAAAAUGAAGCAGAGGCAGGAUGCCGACGUGAACGUAAACGCCAAGUGGCAUCCUUCGCUUGGUGUGAAGAGAAAUGCUUCAGAAGGAUGCGGUUCUGUGUGCUGCGCUUAAUGACCGACAAGGGCUGAUGUGCUUC